UCCAUCUCCCGUGGAUCCCAAAAGCCCAGUGCCCAUUAGCUGGGGGCAGUCAGAAGCUCCAGGUUUGGCAUGUGGACUGGGGUAUUUCUGAUGUCCAGGCUGAAGAUUGCUGCUUGCAGGAAAGUGAUGCCCUCAGGAGCUCCAACCCCUCAGGAACUAAUGGAAGUUUGCAACUCACACACGGAGUUGAACUCUUCAUGUCACAGCACUGGGAGGAACUGCUAUAAACCAUUCCCUUUUGUGUUUCCCAUUUCUCUGCUCCAAGCCUUCCUAAUGCAAACACUAAGACAAAUGUGCAGGAGGUACUGUGGGAGCUGGAUCCUGCCCUCGCCAAAGCCCAAGACAGAAGGGAAUGCUUGCACAUUUUCUACCUAUUUUAUCUCUGCUGGGUGUCUGAAAAGCAUUUUCUACCAUCCCCAAGCUGCAGGGAUAAUUAGAUGCUGUACCAACCAAACUGCCAAAAGAUGAGAACUUGUGUGUUUCAAUAUUGCAUGGAACAUGGCUUAAAAUAGCUAAGCAGAUCCUGUAAUUAGGAAAGUACCAACUAACACUCAUCCUCCUCUGCUCUAGGCAUCCCACCUUCGGGAUGUUCAUCCCUCCUCCAGGGUGUUCUGAGCUCCUUGCACUGCCCUGGCAGUGCUUUUCCCACUUUGGUGCAUCCUCAGUGCAAAAGGACUUUUUUGCUUCUUUCUCAUGCAUGGUUCAGUCUUGCCUCGUGUAAGGACCACUGGCCUCUACGCUCUGAUGCUGGAGCUCAUUCUUCUGCAUUGUUCUCUGACCUGUGACUGAUGGGACAGUGUGGAGCACCCACAGGGUGCAGUUGCAGUCCUGCAGCCCUUGCACCCACGGUGGGGGACAGCCACAGCUGGGCUCUGCCCCAGUGUCACCGUCCCUGUGGCACCGGAGCACAGAGCAGCUCUGCCUUUGCCAGCACCACAGCCCCUGCACGCUCUCCCAGUGCUGGAGCAGCCAGGCUCACAUGCACCAGCUCAAUUUGGGGUUUAUGCCUCCAGCUUCCCUCCAGAUAAAUGUAUUUUUUUAACUCAGGAAUACAUUCGUUCCAAGUCGGGUGCCAACCGCUCCCAGUGCCAAGAAGAUGCAGCGCUCCUUCUGCUCGCUCUGUUUUCCUGUGAACUUUAUCAGCUUUUCCUUGUUUCUCUGUGACCUUUGGAGCCCAUUCAAAGUCAUCUGCCUCUUGCUUUGAUUUUGUUUCAGUCCAGAGCAGGUUGCCAGCUGAUUUGCUGCCUGCUUUAACACAUCGCCAGCAAAUCACCACCUCUUCAUAUUGUUCAGUCAGUCAUCAGAUCCAGGCUUGCCAGCUCCUUUUGUUAAUGGGCUAGGAGGGAUUGUUACAUCUACUGAUGGGACCAGAAAGCUGCUUAAUUACAGCUAACAAAUCUUUAAAGCCUUAUGUAGGACUUUUACAGCCACUGAGGGGUCUGGCCUCUGUUAUGGACCCGAGGUCCACCUGGAUGUUGGCUGUGCCUCAUCUUCCCCCUGGUUAGCCAGGCUGCCACAUGCACUGGAUCUACUGAAAAUGUAUCCCUGAAGGUGUUGCACAGAGAUUUGGCUUGUGCUGAUCCUGGGAUGGAGACAGUUCUGAUUGCUGAGCCAAGUGGGACCUCCUGGGUGCUCGCCCACAGCUGAUCCCAGUUACAGCCGGGGAUCAGUGGGAGGUGAAGGAGCCCAUGCCUUGUAGCUGUGCUUGUUCCUGCCAGAGCCAAGGUGGACAUGGGAGCCCCAGCGAGGUGCAGAGUCCACAGGGCACAUCCAGGCUCAGCUCCAGCACCACACAGCCCACCAAGUGCUGCUGCCAUGCCUGGAAGGUUCCACGUUAUCCAGCUCCAGCUAUUUUGCUCAAUGGCUCGUUGAAGACCAAGGUUUCCUUUGUGGGCCAGGAGUAAAAUCCGUAUUUCUCUCCAGUACAGAGGACAGUCAGAAGGGAAGGGGAAGCCAGUUGACCAAAACCCAGGAUCAUCCAGGCACCAUGGGCAUCUCCCACAGCACCACUCAGAACUGAGAUGCCAAACCACCAUACCCUGCAUGGAAAAACACAAAACAAAAAACAAAGCUUUAUAUCAUCUCUGGUUUUCUUCACAAACAUUCCCCGGAGCCCGGCGCUGUUGGUGCCCCAGGGAGGAACCAGCCCCAGGGACAGAUCUGCUGUCAGCAGGGGCUCACAGCCGGCCCAGAGACUCUGCUCAGGGCACAGCCUGUCUCCGAGGGAGCAGCUUUGUGUUUAUGCAAACCCGAUGACUCCAGUUGGUGAUUAUCUGCUGCUGGCAUCCCUCUGCUGCCAAGAAGCCUCUACCAACAUCCCUGCUGCAGAUUUGUACAGCCUGAGGCAGUCCCAGCCGGGCAGGGGUGGGCACAGAGAAGGGAACUGCCUUGCUAAAGGUCACAGAGCAGGAGGAAAACCAGCACCCUGAACCCUGCGGAGGCUCCAGACAAUUUGUCAAGCAGCCACUCAUCCCAGUGUUAUCUCAGAGUCCAUCCCGGCCAGAUCUGUUGAGGAUGUGAGCAACAGCAUUUUAAUGCCACCCAUAAAUAGUUUAUUUAAGGCUGAGACUUGGUGACUACAGCACUGUCAUUAUCAGUGCCUGGAAUGAACCAUCUCUGAUAAUAAAUAAUCCAGGAUAACUCCCAACAUCAAAAAUGCUUCUGUCCUAAGUUGCUCCCAUCUUCAUCCUAUCAAUCAGAAGGUCUGAGUGUUUGCAACAGCUCAUACAGUAAAUUGACUUUAGCUUUCUUCUUUCCAAAUACUGAAACCGGCUCUUUCCAGGGCACUGCCAUGUAAUUUACAGCUCUAUCACCACCUCCUUAAUAGCUGCCAAGUUCUUUGGAGUCCUUUGAAAGUGAACAUAAUAAAAAGAUACGAGCUGAGACUGACCAUGGGUUUCAAGUCUGCAGGUCUCUACGUGCCUUUUUCAGGUUCUUUCAGCAGGCUGGUGGAAACCAGUUCUGUAUCUUUAAGACAAGAUGAAAAGAUUUUAGAAUUCCCCUGACUAGUGAGAGCAGAGAAUUGAUACAGCUCUACAGCAGCCAAAUGCCAGCACAUCUCUACAUCUCAACUUCACCAUUAGUCUCAGCUAAGAGAUGGAAGGGAGAGAUUUCCUCUUUGUGUAUCAUUUGCUUAAUCAAUCUGAAACACAAGCCUGCAGUCUGGAAACAGCUCUGAAACAGUGACAGUUAAACAGCUGUGCAAUUUGUCUGUUGCCCCAAGAACAGAAUAUUCGGAUAAGGUUUGGCUGAGCAAAAAAGAAGGCUGGGAGAAGAUUUAGCAGCUCUAACAGGAGAGAGGAAAUGGCUCUGUCUUUGGCUGUUAGCAUCACAGCAAGCCCUGCUCUGUUCAGGCACUGCUUCUCACCAGCCCAAGUCUAUGUUAAUUUAAUAAUGAAAACCUCCUGUGCCUCCCCAGUUUGGUAAAGGUAGGAUUUGGGGUGAAGGAGAUCUCCUUUGCUUACCCUACAUGUUUUGCCAGUAUCCCCCAACUCCCUGAAAUGUCAAGAGAAAGAUCAACAGAGUGAAACGUAAUCUCAAAGAGAAGCACGAUAUUUUUUUAAUGUCCUCCCAGCAGCAAUCAUAAUAAAAAUACAAACCUGAGGUUUGUAAAAAUCUAGCUAUAAAACCACAGACAUCUUUACAACUCCCAGAUACCCAAAGCUCCCCGGCAGCAAGAAAAAACCCUCCCAGACACAAGGAGCAAAACUCUAACUGGGGACCAGGCCUAAUUGUUUUACAGGCUGAAAAAAAAAAAAAAAAAUUUAAAAA